GAUGUCUGAGGAAUAGUCUUAGUGGAUUAUCCCAAACUUGACACAUUUUUUGCAAAAUGCUAUACAAAAAGAAGAUACAUGCGAUUAUGACAAGAUUCUCCACUUGGUGUGACCAGUCUCAUACAACCCAAGGCUGUGUGUCCAAAGGCAACUGCACUUCUGGGACUGGAAACAAUUUGGGAACAUUUUUCAUUGCAUAUUUGGCUCAGAUCUGCCACUUAGUUGAAGUAUAAUCUUCAGCAAGUGACUCAAAAUUUCUGAAUCUCGUUUUCACCAUCAAUACAUGACAAUAAUAUUUUCUCCUUUAAGUAUUUGAAAGUUUUGAGAAAGCCACAAUAGCAACACUUGCAAAAGUGCUCCAUUGUAAAAUGCAAGGGAGAGGUAGUUGUGACCCUUUGGGGAAAACUAUAGUUGCCACAAUUGUCUCUGAAGUGAAGCAUGUUUCUUAGACUGAAGGAAAGCCCUGGGAGAGAUUGGUCUAGCUUUAGGAUGACUGUGGGUAGAGCUUCUAGGGAGAAGAAUGAAACGUAUUCCUCUUCCUUCUUUCUAGGAAUACUGGAAAGCAUUUAUUUGUUUGCUAAAUUGCUCUCUUUCCACCAGCGAUAUCAACUCUGAAAUACUUUUUAGAUCUUGACAAUAAUCAAAAGGUAGCCAGGUGCAUCGG
rnacentral:antisense_RNA from 1 species